rnacentral:misc_RNA from 1 species
GGGAUGGCCCUCCUCUCCUGACUCGGUCGUGGGUUCCCUCCCCUCAGCCAGUCAGGAUGUAGAUAACUUCUGAGUUUGAUUUGCUGUUGGGUUUGCAUAUUUUGAGGGAUCUUUCUGAGCUACUUGAUUUCUUUGUCUUUUCUUAGGUUUGCAUAUCUUACAUGUGAUUAUGGGGAGUAAUUGGUAGUCAGCGUGAGCUUCUAUUUUGCAUGGAGUGAGCAUGAAUCUUUCCGGUAAUGGUAGCUCAUGGAGUCA